AUCUUUCAAAGAAUUGGAAUACUCCAACAAUUUAUGCAAAUUAUUUUUUACUAAUGCUUUACUUUCUCCGGAAAUUAUCAAAUUAUUCGAGAUUAUAUCUUUAGUGGUUGGUGGGAUAAGUAUGUCGAUUGACACAUUCAGUUGUGGAAUAACAUCUCUGUACAGUUUUUUAGUCACAUUUUUCUUUGAUAUUAGUAACGUACCAUCAUUCGUAUUUGCCUCACAUUGAUUACUUAAUUCUAAAAUUCCCGUACCCUUUACAUUUACUAUUUCUACUUCAGACACAUCUUUACAUUUAAUGAAAAUAUUUUCUUUAAAUAUAAUGUAUAUCCUUGAAUUUGUGUUUUCUAAUCUAUGUCAUAUGCUAAAAUUAAAAUUAAUAUUUUUUAAGUUACAUGAGUCAGGUAUUGCACCUGGGUUUCUGAAUAUCAUUAAUUCACAUGAACUGUCUACAUAAUACAAUUGUUGAUCGUAAGGACAUAUUAUGGCUGUUGCUAUUGGUUUACAUUUAGCUAAAUCUACUUCACUUAACUUUAAGUAAUACAAUCUAGAUUUAUCUAUAGCUAUAUAAUUUGUCGCCGGUACAAUCGUUACUUAUGAGUUAUUAAAUACAUUUAUUGGCAGAGGUAUUGUCUUAUAUAAUAUGAAUUCGUAGCUUUUUACUAAAGGUAUCUCUAUAUCAAAAACUAAUACAUCUUUUAUUAAAACGACAUUAGUUGUAGUUAGACGAAGCAAUUCUCAUACUCCAGAAUCAUCUAAGUUAACUGGUAUACCCUCCUUAAUAG